rnacentral:rRNA from 1 species
CCUACGGGUGGCAGCAGUGAGGAAUAUUGGUCAAUGGGCGCAAGCCUGAACCAGCCAAGUCGCGUGAGGGAUGACGGUCCUAUGGAUUGUAAACCUCUUUUGUCGGGGAGCAAGGCCCGCCACGUGUGGCGGGAAGGAGAGUACCCGAAGAAAAAGCAUCGGCUAACUCCGUGCCAGCAGCCGCGGUAAUACGGAGGAUGAGAGCGUUAUCCGGAUUUUUUGGGUUUAAAGGGAGCGUAGGCCGCAUGUCAAGCGUGCUGGGAAAUGUCCGGGCUCAACCCGGGCCUUGCAGCGCGAACUGGCGUGCUUGAGUCCGCGGAAAGCAGGCGGAAUUCGUCGUGUAGCGGUGAAAUGCUUAGAUAUGACGAAGAACCCCGAUUGCGAAGGCAGCUUGCUGCAGCGGAACUGACGCUGAUGCUCGAAAGCGCGGGUAUCGAACAGGAUUAGAUACCCUUGUAGUC